rnacentral:misc_RNA from 1 species
AAAUAUAUAUAAAUAUAAUUUAGUGAAUGUUGAAAUUUUGGAUUUAGAAAAUUAGAGAUUGAUUAAAUUUAUUUAUUUAUAUUAAUAGGCUAAAUUUAAUUCACAUAUAUUUAAUUAAUGUUUUUAUGAUCCACUAAUUGAACUAAUAACACAUCAACCCGGUCAAGGUUCUGGCCAAGUCGGAUAGUUAUGCUUGCAUUAACUUGGUUUGGUUGUUCUUGUUGCGAAUAUUUUCAUCAUUAGGUUAACUAGUUUCCAUAAUGCAAACUUAUCAAUGAUUCAUGUAUUAGUUGAUUAUAAUCUGAUGACAUUUUUUAUUGUAAUAUGACUGGUAUUGUCAAAAGAAAUUGGGUGAAUUACAAUCAGGUCCUUGGAUAUUACCAUUAUUAACAAGUUGGUCCUUGUAUUUUCAAAAACUCAUUAAAACGUUCCUAACUUUUGCCUCUGUUAAUGGAUUGGUCUUUCCAUUCAAUUAUUAUUAUUAUUUUUUUUCAUAUCUGCCUUUACAGAAUCAUGAAAGUACUGAACUAUCCUUGUUAAUUAAUUCUAUUUUCUUUUUUGACUUCUCCCUCAAGCUCAUCUCUUUCUUUCUCUUCUUUGGAACAACAAUAAUUUGUUUCAUAAUUGUGUUAUGGCAAUCAGCAAAAUUGUAGAACUUUCUUUGCAAAACACUGAAACAGGAAAAGGCAAUUGCAGGUAGAAACAGUUGCAUUCCAAAAUGGAUGUUAGGCAUUGGAUUACAUUUUGGUAGUUUAUCUAAAAGAGCAUUCAUGAUAGACAAAUUAAACAUUCAUAACCACAAAAAUAAAAUUUGCAGGACAAUUUAAACCUUUUUUUUUUCUCCAAAUCACAAAUACAGUUGAUAUAUGAACAAACUGAAAGCACAAAAAGCAUAUCUGCAAUGACAUCCAUUUCCCAAAACAACUUCUUCAUUAUCAGUAGUGGAGUUUGGUCUUUGCCCAAGAACAGCAUCAUUAUUGGAAUUCAUCCUUCAAAAAAUGCAUACCACAAAUCCCUUUGUCUCGUUUCCAAUGUUUGACCCUAUCAACUCCUCACCUAUUCUUACCCACUUGAUUGCCGACCCCUCCUUUAAAGCCAAUGGCUCCUUGGCCACUUGAUUGCAGUGUGUGUUUCAUCUUGCCUAUGUGUUCUUCGAGCACUGAAGGCGUAGGGCAAGUGGGGAUUCCACUUCGAGAUUGGGGAGUGAUUAGGUGAACUCAAACAAGCUUUCCAACAAGGGCAGUCAAAUUAGGUGGAAUGGUGUUCAUUCUGCUUUUUAAAUAAUUGCUUCUUGAACUGGGGGAGUUGCAAAAGAGGCUCCAAUUAUUGGUGAUCGCAAGAGAGAUAAAAAUUGUGAGAGUUGGUGAGGGAGGGCAAUUUUGGGUUUUAAAACUUGUCUCUUUCCUUUGACCAAGUUUUUAACUGGAAAAUGGGUUGAAAUGUAUGGAAGGACCAUUGAGUCAACGAAGGUAAAAGUUAGAGACAUUCUAUUGAGUUUCUGAAAAUACAGGGAUCAACUUGUUAAUAAUGGCAACACCCAGGGACCUGGUUGCAAUUCAUCCAAAGAAAUAUGUGGUAUGGUUGGUGUGGAUAGCCAACUAGCUCUUCAUCGUGUCCUUUGUGUAUAUUUUCAGUUUGAAAUUGUCACAAAUGUUCUAUUUUAAUUUGUUCACUUUCAUCAUACUUAAUUUUCAAGAUAUAAUGAUGCAUUUUUUGACAAUGUUUAUGUGAGGUCUUUUCACACAUUGUCCUCUGCUUACUGGCUGCAGGGUUUUAUGAAACUCGGAUGGCAUAUUAUUCAUGGAGGGGUGCUAAAGGAUAUCGCUUUGCUUCUAUUCCAAGUUAUUAAGUGCGCCUUUAAGGAUUGCUCAUAGACCGCCUUGGCUAAUGCUAUCUAUGUAUGUAAUUAUUUAAGUAGAAUUAGGAUUAUAAAGUUGUACUCCAUCACAAAUAAAAUUAGUGGGGAUUGUAUCUAGUGAUAAAGAGUUUGUUUUCUUUGUAGCUUUGUUUUGAAUUCUGAUGGAUUGAUCGACUCAG